AUUGAACGCUGGCGGCAGGCUUAACACAUGCAAGUCGAACGAGUGGCGGACGGGUGAGUAAUGCCUGGGAAUCUGGCUUAUGGAGGGGGAUAACUACGGGAAACUGUAGCUAAUACCGCUUACCAUAGGAUGAGCCCACUUGGGAUUAGGUAGUUGGUGGGGUAACGGCAUACCACGGCGACGAUCACUAGCUGGUCUGAGAGGAUGACUGGCAGCCCUUGGUAUGAGACAGGGACCCGACUCCUACGUGAGGCAGCAGUGGGGAAUCUGACGCAAGUGGGGCAACCUGACGCAGCCAAGCCGCGUGAGUGAGGAAGGCCUUCGGGUUGUAAAGUAUGUUCGGUCGCGAGGCGUUAACUACAGAAUAAGCACCGGCUAACUCCGUGCCAGCAGCCGCGGUAAUUC
rnacentral:rRNA from 1 species